AGAGUUUGAUCCUGGCUCAGGACGAACGCUGGCGGCAUGCCUAAUACAUGCAAGUCGAGCGAACAGAUGAAGUGCUUGCACUUCUGACGUUAGCGGCGAACGGGUGAGUAACACGUAAGGAAUCUACCUAUAAGCGGGGGAUAACAUUCGGAAACGGGUGCUAAUACCGCAUAAUAUCUUCUUCCGCAUGGAAGAAGAUAGAAAGACGGCUCUGCUGUCACUUAUAGAUGACCUUGCGGUGCAUUAGUUAGUUGGUGGGGUAACGGCCUACCAAGACGAUGAUGCAUAGCCGACCUGGGAGGGUGAUCGGCCACAUUGGGACUGAGACACGGCCCAAACUCCUACGGGAGGCAGCAGUAGGGAAUCUUCCGCAAUGGGCGAAAGCCUGACGGAGCAAUGCCGCGUGAGUGAAGAAGGCCUUCGGGUCGUAAAACUCUGUUAUAAGAGAAGAACAAAUUGUAGAGUAACUGCUACAGUCUUGACGGUAUCUUAUCAGAAAGCCACGGCUAACUACGUGCCAGCAGCCGCGGUAAUACGUAGGUGGCAAGCGUUGUCCGGAUUUAUUGGGCGUAAAGGGAGCGCAGGUGGUUUCUUAAGUCUGAUGUGAAAGCCCACGGCUUAACCGUGGAGGGUCAUUGGAAACUGGGAAACUUGAGUACAGAAGAGGAAUGUGGAACUCCAUGUGUAGCGGUGGAAUGCGUAGAUAUAUGGAAGAACACCAGUGGCGAAGGCGACAUUCUGGUCUGUUACUGACACUGAGGCUCGAAAGCG
rnacentral:rRNA from 1 species